rnacentral:lncRNA from 1 species
GGGAUCGAACCCAGGGCCUUGUGCAUGCCGGUGAACUCUCUACCACUCAGCUACACCCAGCCCAGGCUCACAUUCUUGGCUGCAUCUUAACUCGGUCAUCUACAAAGACUUUCUCCUGAGGUGCUUGGGCUUAAAACGUCAACAUCUUUUGGGAGGAUGCAGCUCAAUGCAGAGCUGCAGACGUAAAGGUCCAUCAGUGGGAGAGUAACCCCGUGAGAAGUCACUCUACUGCCCCCCACAUGAAGGAACUGACAUUUGUACAAGACCACAGCCCUGCCCAUCAGCCUGUCCAGGAGUAGCCAACUGCCCGGAUACUGCCUUUCACCUGUCACAGUUGCUAUCUAUGGAUUGGAUACAGUCGGAGUGAGUCUCCAGGGGUCUACCUGCUGAAGUCCAGUCCCUGCUGCAAGGCCCUGAGCCACCGUGAGGUGAGCAGCUUCUCUGCCCUGUGUUCCCUCCAUGAUGUCCUGCCUUGCCACAGGCCCGAAAGGAAUAGGGCCAGGCGGCUAUGGACUGAAACCUCCAAAACC